UUUUUUUUAAGAAAAAAAAGACAUUUUUUACAUGAAAACACGAUAACCUGUACAUGAUUGUAACAUUCUGUUUUGGAUGUAUAGCCCCUGAAAAAAAAACUAAAAACCUAUUUCAUUUCCGCGUUAAAACCGCCCCCAAAUAUUUUGGCAAGUAUAUUUACAUCUGCUCGUUUGCUACUCUUUAUCUAUAAUCAGUAAUGCCAAUUACAGCCAAAAAGAUGGAAUUUCUUACCGAGUUUCUAAGGUUGCACCGGAAAGUGGGGAUCAUCAACAACUCUCAUUGGCUUCCAGUCAGAAUCUUCUCUUGUUUGCCUUAGAGCAGCAAAGUGAAGAGCAUCACUUCUCACUUGAUAAAUAUGACAAGCCCACGGGUAUGAAUCUGGGGCUGACCAUGUCUUUUGCUCUUCAAAUUCUGUUUCCUCAACCAGUGAUUCUGCUACGCACCGUACCAAAUUGGGUUCUGGUUCCUCAAAACCAGCCACAGCAACACACCCAGGAGCCACGAAUCCCUCAGGAGCCCUUGGAUGCCAAAUUGACACUGGUGUUUUGUAGUCAUCCCUACAAUUUCUCCAUACCAAGUCAUAACCCAUAGGAAGUGCAAACAAUCUGUCACUGUUGCGAUAAAGAGCAGCAACAUUUGGAGGAUGGCUGCCAACACGAGCUAUAUCCCCAAUGGAGAUGUACCCGUUUGGACAAAUGGGUCUCCAUGCUAUCAUCCUCAAGAACCUGCUUCCUACACAAUUUGCAUCGACCUUUUGGUUCAUGUUCACUGCUCCAAAUCUUCAAAAAGUUGAUACUGUGCUCAACAAAUCUCCCUUCACUAGAUGCAUUACUUGAUGAAGAUAGCUCUCUUGACUUUAUAAUCACUUUACUUGGGAUAUGUGGCUCUCCAUCAGCUUCACUCCAAGAAAAGUAGACAUGUCUUUGACUUGAAGGAACCUUUAGAAUUAAGCUUUUCAUGUCAGAUUGAUAAGCUUUCCACAUCCUACGCACUACAGAACAAAUC
rnacentral:misc_RNA from 1 species